GGAGCAACGCCGCGUGAGUGAAGAAGGUCUUCGGAUCGUAAAACUCUGUUAUUAGGGAAGAACAAAUGUGUAAGUAACUAUGCACGUCUUGACGGUACCUAAUCAGAAAGCCACGGCUAACUACGUGCCAGCAGCCGCGGUAAUACGUAGGUGGCAAGCGUUAUCCGGAAUUAUUGGGCGUAAAGCGCGCGUAGGCGGUUUUUUAAGUCUGAUGUGAAAGCCCACGGCUCAACCGUGGAGGGUCAUUGGAAACUGGAAAACUUGAGUGSAGAARARGAAAGUGGAAUUCCAUGKGUAGCGGUGAAAUGCGCARARAUAUGGAGGAACACCAGUGGCGAAGGSGACUUUCUGGUCUGUAACUGACGCUGAUGUGCGAAAGCGUGGGGAUCAAACAGGAUUARAUACCCUGGUAGUCCACGCCGUAAACGAUGARUGCUAAGUGUUAGGGGGUUUCCGCCCCUUAKUGCUGCAGCUAACGCAUUAAGCACUCCGCCUGGGGAGUACRACCGCAAGGUUGAAACUCAMARGAAUUGACGGGGACCCGCACAAGCGGUGGAGCAUGUGGUUUAAUUCKAAGCAACGCGAAGAAMCUUACCAAAUCUUGACAUCCUCUGACCCCUCUAGAGAUAGAGWUUUCCCCUUCGGGGGACAGAGWGACAGGUGGUGCAUGGKUGUCGUCAGCUCGYGUCGUGAGAUGUU
rnacentral:rRNA from 1 species